GGGCUUAGCUCAGUGGCAGAGCGCUUGCCUUUCACGUGUGAGGCAUUGGGUUCGAUCCUCAGCAUCA
rnacentral:tRNA from 1 species